UACCUGCAGCUCGAGUGGUAACCGCUAUUAUUGGGCCUAAAGCGUCCGUAGCCGGUUUGGUAAAUAUCUGGGUAAAUCGUGAGGCUUAACUUCACGAAUUUCGGAUAGACUGCCAGACUUGGGAUCGGGGGAGGUCAGAGGUACUCCAGGGGUAGCGGUGAAAUGUUGUAAUCCUUGGAGGACCACCGGUAGCGAAGGCGUCUGACUAGAACGAGUCCGACGGUGAGGGACGAAGCCCUGGGGCGCAAACCGGAUUAGAUACCCGGGUAGUCCAGGGUGUAAACUAUGUGGGCUUUGUAUUGGAGGUCCCACGUGGGCGUCCAGUGCAGAAGAGAAGUUGUUAAGCCCACCGCCUGGGAAGUACGGUCGCAAGGCUGAAACUUAAAGGAAUUGGCGAGGGAGCACAGCAACGGGAGGAGCGUGCGGUUU
rnacentral:rRNA from 1 species